AACCCUUUGCCUCCCACAGCCUGGGAAAAAAUGAGGGGGUGGGUAUGGAAGCAAGGAGGUGGCUGAUGACGCCCCUCUCCCAGUGUCUAGUGGAAUCACGGAAGAUCAGCUUUUGGGGGAGCUCAGAGGCCGGCGAAGGUCUUCGGAUUUCUGGCCAUUCUCUCCAAAGACUCUGCCAGCCGCUCAGUUAAGCUGAUCUCAGAUUCGGCCGCCGCGGGUCCCCUGAGACCCGCCUUUGUUUGGACUCACCCAGGACUGGGGCUGGUAUGCCUGGGUUGGUGAUUAGGAGGUGAAAGCAAAGGUUGGGUGGGCUGACCUAGCGGUAAGAGCAGAAGCUAAUGGGCCAGGCAAGGCUACCCAGCGCUACGGACCCUCUUACCCACCUCUCACCCCCCCACCGGUGGUCAGGUCUCCCUGGAGGAAGAAACUGACAAGGUAGGCAAGCAUUACCCCUUCCCAGCAGCUCGGUGGUAAGGUAUGCAACUCACUGCAGGGCAAUCCUUCCAUAAACUUAGGGAGCAAGAAGUAGUGGUGAAUUCCUGUAAUUCCGUUGCUUGGGAGACAGAGGCAGGAGGACCUGAAGGUUCAAAAUAUUCGUGGCCCACAUAGCUCCAGGCUACCUAGCGAGACCCUGUUUCUAAACAAGGAACCUCACAGGGCUCCCAAACUGUUCCUGCUUGUGUCUCAUUUUCUCCCCACCACAUCCUGAGAGAGGACUUAGAAUCAUCCCCAUUUUACAAGGCAAAUUAAUCAAGACAUGAGAUGUGAGGUAAAGUUCGAGGCCACAGUUUUCAAUGAACCCAGGUGUGAGGAGACCAGAGUUGAACAAUUGAACAUUCUACCCUCAAAAAGUUCCAUAGUAGCUAAGCACACCACCUGUAAUCUUCAGCCAUUAGUAGGCUGAGGCAGGAGAAUCAAGAGUUGGACUUCAGGAUCAGCCUGGGAUGCACAAUAGGACUCGUUUCAAACCUUAAAUAAAUAAAUAAAUAAAUAAAUAAAUAAAUAAAUAAAUAAAUAAAUUCCAAGCCCUGUAUGGGAGUGAAUAGCUGUGACUCUAGCACUGCAAGCUGACACAGGAAAAUCACCAUGAAUUAAGACCAACCUAGGUGAAUAUAUACUGGCUGGGUCAAACCCCCCUCCCCCACACAUGUAGCAGAUGUAUAUAGCUCGGUCUUCAUGUGAGUCCUCCACAGCUGGAUCAGGGGUUGUCUCUACAGCUUUUGCCAGCCUGUGGAUUUUGUUCCCCUAACUGGGCUGCCUUGUCUGGUCUCAGUGGGAGAGGAUGCAUCUAGCUAUGUUUGAUGUGCCAGGGUGAGGGAAUAGAAACAGGGGAGGCUCCACCCUCUCAGAAGAGAAGGGAAGGGGGAUAGGGGCAGGCCUGGGAAGAAGGGGGCAGCAAUGGGGAUAUAAAGUGAAUAAAUAAAUUAAUGGGGGGAAAAGACCAACCUAGGCUACACAGUGAGGCUACAUGUUAAAACACCAAUAAAUAAAUAUUGACUU
rnacentral:lncRNA from 1 species